CUGCUGCCUCCCGUAGGAGUUUGGGCCGUGUCUCAGUCCCAAUGUGGCCGUUCACCCUCUCAGGCCGGCUACUGAUCGUCGCUUUGGUAGGCCGUUACCCUGCCAACUGGCUAAUCAGACGCGGGUCCAUCUCACACCGAUAAAUCUUUUCCAACCAGAGCAUGCGCCCCUGUUGGCUUAUGCGGUAUUAGCGGUCGUUUCCAACUGUUAUCCCCCUGUGUGAGGCAGGUUACCCCACGCGUUACUCACCCGUCCGCCA
rnacentral:rRNA from 1 species